AAGCAACGUGUCAUUUUGGUUAGAAAAAAUGAAUCAGUAUACAUGUGAUUUAACUGUCAAAGCCGGAAUGUUUAAAGCAUACAUCCCGCCCAAGGCAUGCUGGGAUGAUCUCCUAUCAGGCAGCUUGGAAACUUCCAGACGCCGAUAUGCCUUACGUUCGGUGCAGCCGAGGUUAUGAACUGUCAAGUGGAAUAUGCCCCUUGAGGAAAACAAUUAGGAUCGACUGUCCAGCGAGG